rnacentral:rRNA from 1 species
GAAGUCGGAAUUGCUAGUAAUGGCAGGUCAGCAUACUGCCGUGAAUACGUUCCCGGGCCCUUGUACACACCGCCCGUCACACCAUGAGAGUUAGGAAUACCCGAAGCCUGUGAGCCAACUUUAUAAGAGGCAGCAGUCGAAGGUAGAACUAAUGAUUGGGGUGAAGUCGUAACAAGGUACC